GGAGGGGUGGCAGAGUGGUUGAAUGCACCGGUCUUGAAAACCGGCAGGGAUUCACGUCCCUCGUGGGUUCAAAUCCCACCCCCUCCGCCA
rnacentral:tRNA from 1 species